rnacentral:rRNA from 1 species
GGUGAACGCUGGCGGCGUGCCUAACACAUGCAAGUCGAACGAAGCACUUGCCACGGAACCUUCGGGGGGAAGAGGCAUGUGACUGAGUGGCGGACGGGUGAGUAACGCGUGGGUAACCUGCCCUGCACAGGGGGAUAACAGUUGGAAACGACUGCUAAUACCGCAUAAGCCGGUAACACCGCAUGGUGAAUCCGGAAAAGAACUUCGGUGCAGGAUGGGCCCGCGUCUGAUUAGCUUGUUGGUGGGGUAACGGCCUACCAAGGCGACGAUCGGUAGCCGACCUGAGAGGGUGAUCGGCCACAUUGGAACUGAGAAACGGUCCAGACUCCUACGGGAGGCAGCAGUGGGGAAUAUUGGGCAAUGGGCGAAAGCCUGACCCAGCAACGCCGCGUGAGGGAAGAAGGGUUUCGGCUCGUAAACCUCUGUCCUAUGGGACGAAUAAAUGACGGUACCAUAGGAGGAAGCCCCGGCUAACUACGUG